rnacentral:SRP_RNA from 1 species
GUUCUGUCCUUCUGGACUGUCUCUUUUGGAAAACUGGUCAGGAUGGGAACAUAGCAGCCAUAACCUUUAGAUAUAGUGCUUGAAGGGUUGCGGAACUAA